rnacentral:tRNA from 1 species
CUUUGGGUAGCUCAGUUGGUAGAGCGCUCCACUGGAAAUAGAGACGUCCCUGGUGCGAUACCGGGACCAAGUG